rnacentral:rRNA from 1 species
AUUGAACGCUGGCGGCAGGCCUAACACAUGCAAGUCGGACGGUAGCACAGAGAGCUUGCUCUCGGGUGACGAGUGGCGGACGGGUGAGUAAUGUCUGGGGAUCUGCCCGAUAGAGGGGGAUAACCACUGGAAACGGUGGCUAAUACCGCAUAACGUCGCAAGACCAAAGAGGGGGACCUUCGGGCCUCUCACUAUCGGCUGCACCCAGAUGGGAUUAGCUAGUAGGCGGGGUAACGGCCCACCUAGGCGACGAUCCCUAGCUGGUCUGAGAGGAGAACCGGCCACACUGGAACGGAGACACGGUCCAGACUCCUACGGGAGGCAGCAGUGGGGAAUAUUGCACAAUGGGCGCAAGCCUGAUGCAGCCAUGACGCGUGUAUGAAGAAGGCCUUCGGGUGGUAAAGUACUUUCAGCGGGGAGGAAGGCGAUAAGGUUAAUAACCUUGUCGAUUGACGUUACCCGCAGAAGAAGCACCGGCUAACUCCGUGCCAGCAGCCGCCGUAA